CCCCUCCUCGGCCUCCCAAAGUGGUGGGAUUACAAGCGUGAGCCACCGCGCCCGGUCAACACUCUUGGCAACAGUCUUGUGCUAAGAACUUGGGGGACUUCAGAAAGUUCCUGUGUCCAUGGGUGAAAAGAUUUUCUACAUCUUUCCUUGACUAGAAGAAGAAGUCCUGAAAAAAGAUUUUUUUCUUUGUGGCAUCAAAGAAAACCUAAAUUGAAGUGACAUAUUGGAAUAGAAGGAGAUAAUGGAAGAAGGAAAGGCUGAAUAAUAGCACACCAUUGCAUUCCCGCAUAGGCUAUGCUUCCCUUGGGAACAAUGGGUCCUGGUUGCUGUGGGUUUGGUGCAACAUGGCAGUCCACAUCGCACACUAGAUCAUCUGGGAAAGAAAAAAACAAGGAAUAGUUCUAAUUUUUUUCUCUUUGAAAAGUCUUGUGUUUGAUUUGAGCUAUAUUGGUAUGAAAUAUAAUGAACACAAGUUGAUGUGAAAAGAUAUUUCUCUUUUAUAAAAUGUUCAUGUUCAUAGGGUAAGUUGUAAAUCAAAAUAUGCAGGUGAAUUAAUUUGUUAUUUAUGAUUGGGCAUAAUUUUAGUUCUUUGGGAAUAUUGAUUUUUUAAAUUUGCAACCACUUAAACAUGUAUUUGUGUCAUCAAUCAUAUGCAUAAUUUAAAACACUGAGAAAAUAAUCAAGCUUCUCUGAUGGAAUGGUCUCGUUUUAAUAUUGCCUUGUCCUAUUGAAAAUGAAUAGAAGAUGCUCUCUUUAUCAUUUUAAAUGAUUAAAAGCCUACUAAUAAAAUUUAGGACUCUUUAAGCAGUCAAAGGCAUUGUGUUUUCAAGAUCAUUUUAUACCAAACUUUUAGUUUUUGCUUA